rnacentral:lncRNA from 1 species
AGGGUCCUUCCCUAGCGAUGACCGACUCUCCCGGCCACCUCCACCAGCCACGCCUUCCUCUAUGGAUGUGAACAGCCGCAACAGCAACAACUGUGGCAGCAACAACAGGCAACAGCAGCAACCUCCAUGCGAUUUGCCAUGUCAGCUCGCUUUCCAUCAACUCCUGGACCUGAACUUGGCCGCCAAGCCCUAGGUUCCCCGUUGGCGGGAAUUUCCACCCGUCUGCCAGGCCCUGGUGAGCCAGUGCCUGGUCCAGCUGGUCCUGCCCAGUUCAUUGAGCUGCGGCACAAUGUACAGAAAGGACUGGGACCUGGGGGCACUCCGUUUCCUGGUCAGGGCCCACCUCAGAGACCCCGUUUUUACCCUGUAAGUGAGGACCCCCACCGACUGGCUCCUGAAGGGCUUCGGGGCCUGGCGGUAUCAGGUCUUCCCCCACAGAAACCCUCAGCCCCACCGGCCCCUGAAUUGAACAACAGUCUUCAUCCAACACCCCACACCAAGGGUCCUACCCUGCCAACUGGUUUGGAGCU